CGUAGGGUGCGAGCGUUAUCCGGAAUCAAUGGGCGUAAAGAGCUCGUAGGCGGCUUUGUAAGUUAGAGGUGAAAGCCCGGGGCUCAACCCCGGAACUGCCUUUAAGACUGCAUCGCUUGAAUCCAGGAGGGGUGAGUGGAAUUCCGAGUGUAGAGGUGAAAUUCGUAGAUAUUCGGAAGAACACCAGUGGCGAAGGCGGCUCACUGGCCUGGUAUUGACGCUGAGGUGCGAAAGCGUGGGGAGCAAACAG
rnacentral:rRNA from 1 species